rnacentral:rRNA from 1 species
UACGGGGGGGAGCAAGCGUUGUUCGGAUUUACUGGGCGUAAAGGGCGCGUAGGCGGCCACCGCAAGUCAAUUGUGAAAUCUCCGGGCUUAACUCGGAAAGGUCAACUGAUACUGCGGGGCUAGAGUGCGGAAGGGGCAACUGGAAUUCUCGGUGUAGCGGUGAAAUGCGUAGAUAUCGAGAGGAACACCUGCGGCGAAGGCGGGUUGCUGGGCUGACACUGACGCUGAGGAGCGAAAGCAUGGGGAGCGAACAGG